UGCAGCCGUGUCAAAUUCAGUGCCUCCUCCUCUGUGGAUGCCACUGGCCAAAUUGGCUGCUACAGUGAAGGUGUAGUUCAUGGGCCCCAGGGUGCUCCAUCAUGGCCACUGGGGAUAAAUAAUGUACUACACACAAAU